AGUUUGGACUCGGUUAACUCAUUUAAUUUUAAAAACAAAAUAAAAUUCAUAUAUACUUUAAAUUUCUCAAAAUCUAAAAAUAAAAAUAAUAUAUAAUAUAUAAAUUUGAAUAAUGUAUGCCAAAAUACUUAAACUUAAAAUAAAAUUUGGUUUACCUUAAAUAUUUGGAUAAGAAAUAAAUAGAUAUUUGAAGUAAUUUUUGUAUUUUGAGUAUCCAUUAACUAUUUUAAGCAUGUAUUUUUAACUAUUUCUAUAU
rnacentral:lncRNA from 1 species